rnacentral:rRNA from 1 species
GAUCCUGGCUCAGAUUGAACGCUGGCGGCAGGCUUAACACGUGCAAGUCGAACGGUAACAUAAAGAAGCUUGCUUCUUUGAUGACGAGUGGCGGACGGGUGAGUAAUGCUUGGGAAUCUAGCUUAUGGAGGGGGAUAACUACGGGAAACUGUAGCUAAUACCGCGUAAUAUCGAAAGAUUAAAGUGUGGGACCUUCGGGCCACAUGCCAUAGGAUGAGCCCAAGUGGGAUUAGGUAGUUGGUGAGGUAAAGG